rnacentral:rRNA from 1 species
GGGUCAGUAGGUUGGUCGUGCCACCGGUACGUACUGGUCUCACUGAUUCCUCCUUCCUGAAGAACCGUAAUGCCAUUAAUUUGGUGUUGCGGGGAAACAGGACUGUUACUUUGAAAAAAUUGGAGUGUUUAAAGCAAGCUAACGCUUGAAUACAUUAGCAUGGAAUAAUGAAAUAGGACGAUCGAUCAUAUUUUGUUGGUUUCUAGGAUUGACGUA